rnacentral:rRNA from 1 species
ACGGGUGAGUAACACGUGGGAACGUACCUUUUGGUUCGGAACAACACAGGGAAACUUGUGCUAAUACCGGAUAAGCCCUUACGGGGAAAGAUUUAUCGCCGAAAGAUCGGCCCGCGUCUGAUUAGCUAGUUGGUAGGGUAACGGCCUACCAAGGCGACGAUCAGUAGCUGGUCUGAGAGGAUGAUCAGCCACAUUGGGACUGAGACACGGCCCAAACUCCUACGGGAGGCAGCAGUGGGGAAUAUUGGACAAUGGGGGCAACCCUGAUCCAGCCAUGCCGCGUGAGUGAUGAAGGCCCUAGGGUUGUAAAGCUCUUUUGUGCGGGAAGAUAAUGACGGUACCGCAAGAAUAAGCCCCGGCUAACUUCGUGCCAGCAGCCGCGGUAAUACGAAGGGGGCUAGCGUUGCUCGGAAUCACUGGGCGUAAAGGGUGCGUAGGCGGGUUUUUAAGUCAGAGGUGAAAUCCUGGAGCUCAACUCCAGAACUGCCUUUGAUACUGGGAAUCUUGAGUAUGGAAGAGGUGAGUGGAACUGCGAGUGUAGAGGUGAAAUUCGUGGA